rnacentral:rRNA from 1 species
AACGAAGGCUUCGGCCUUAGUGGCGCACGGGUGCGUAACGCGUGGGAAUCUGCCCUUGGGUACGGAAUAACAGCGAGAAAUUACUGCUAAUACCGUAUGAUGACGUAAGUCCAAAGAUUUAUCGCCCAAGGAUGAGCCCGCGUAGGAUUAGCUUGUUGGUGAGGUAAAGGCUCACCAAGGCGACGAUCCUUAGCUGGUCUGAGAGGAUGAUCAGCCACACUGGGACUGAGACACGGCCCAGACUCCUACGGGAGGCAGCAGUGGGGAAUAUUGGACAAUGGGCGAAGGCCUGAUCCAGCAAUGCCGCGUGAGUGAUGAAGGCCUUAGGGUUGUAAAGCUCUUUUGCCCGGGAAGAUAAUGACUGUACCGGGAGAAUAAGCCCCGGCUAACUCCGUGCCAGCAGCCGCGGUAAUACGGAGGGGGCUAGCGUUGUUCGGAAUUACUGGGCGUAAAGCGCACGUAGGCGGUCUAUCAAGUCAGAGGUGAAAGCCCGGAGCUCAACUUCGGAAUUGCCUUUGAAACUAGUAGACUUGAAUCACGGAGAGGUGGGUGGAAUUCCGAGUGUAGAGGUGAAAUUCGUAGAUAUUCGGAAGAACACCAGUGGCGAAGGCGGCCCACU